AUGGUAACCCGUAAUACUGGCGGCGCGGAGGCCGGGGAGCGAUCCCUACCUGUUGGCCCGCGGGCUGGGGACGGUCCGCACCCGCUCCAGGGAGGAGCGAGGGUGCGCGGGCCGGGUCGCCGGGACCCAGCAGGGGUUCUGGGGACCGGGACCCGCAGGGCAGGGCGAGACGGGCGGGACGGGCGGGGCGGGGCGGCGCUGACCCCGCCCCGGGCCGGAGGGGCGGUGCUGCCUCCCGCCGGGCCCCGGGCAUUGCCCUCCGGCCGCCUAGCCGCCCGCCCGCCGGCGCCCCGCUGUCCGCUGCCAGCUGCCGCGGGAGCCAGAGAUGGAUUUGCAGCCGCUGCAAGUGUGUGGAAGGGCCGUGUUCGUGUUGGCAAAGAAGGUCGGCUGCUGAGCCAGGGCGUGUCUCCCGGAGGCCUGCAGACUGCCAGGAUCCCCACCUCCUUGCAAUGGGCUGCCCAGGCUGGUCAGUUACCAGCCAGUGACAUCGUUGAGGUUCCCGGCUCUCUACCCUGGGAAGGGCCCAGCCUAAGUUACGAAGCCCCAGGCUCCCAGUACCACUCUCAGCCUGUGUGAGAUUGCCACCCCACCUUCUGCCUAUCCUUGGAAGGGGACCGACUCUCAGUUCCCCUUAGCAACCAAGUUGCACCCAGUCCCUUGACUUCGUGCCCAGGUUUCCUGGCACCUAAAGUAGAAACGAUGCAACUGCCCCCUGGGCUUGCUGAGGGCCAGCGGGGGUGUGAGUUUGUCACGGAGCAUAGAAGUCACUGAGUUAAUGGUGAUCCCGCUGGCUGUUAACAUCGAUACAGUUCAGGUCAGCAUGCACCAAGUUCCUCCAACACACCAGGUACAUUGGCUAACCGCUUCUUCCAGUCAGGGUGGUGCAGUGAUGAGAGCAGGGACCCUGGCCGGGUGGCCUGGGACCUAACCCCUGCACUGUCACUGCUGGCUGUGGGACUCUGCACAAGGUACUGUACUUCUAUGCCUCAAUUUCCUCAUCUGUGGGGUGGAGGUGGUAAUUGCCACGCCAUAGGGUGGUUAUAAGGGGCCACACAUGUUCCUAUGUGUGAGAUGCUGAGAAAGUCACCUGGUAUGGACAGGAUGGACAGCCAGUAUUUACAGAAUUAUGAACGAAUGAAUGUUACCCUUUAGUGGGUUCCAGCGUCCUGUCCCGCCGGUGGGAAGACUGAAGCUCAGAGAGCUCCGUAACUUGCCCCAGGUCACACAGCCGGUCAGGCAGAGUUGGGGUCUCAUGCCUCCCAGGUGUUCACACAGUCUUUUCCCCAGGAGCAUGGUCCAAGCCUGCUGCUCCCCCAACCACCUGCGAGGUACCUGGGCAUGUUCCUGCACUGGCCAAGCGCACAUCACCAAGAAAGAGAGGUCUAAGGGCGGUAGUACCAGUCAGCAUCAUGGCCUAAGGCACAACCUCCCAGUUUCUUUCCCACCUGUGUCUAUGAAAAGCACAGCCCAGGGUCUGGGCUGGACAGCCAGGGGGCCAAGAGACCCCCGUGUGUCUGGAGCAAAUGGCUCUGGGAUGCGGUAGGCAUCCCAUGUGCCUGGAACGAGUGCCCUGUGAGUGCACCUGCUGGGCCAGCCCUUAGCAAGCCAGUGCCCGGGCCUGCCAGAGCCCCAGGCCUCAUGCUGAACGUCCUCAGGACCCCUCAGUGGCCUGUCCUUGGAUGAGCCCCAGGCCUGGUUCAUGGAGCUGAGGCGGGCAUGAGCUGGGCCUCAAAUCCCAGGCUGCCAAUCCUAACAGAGCCCUGUGUGUCACAUGGUGAAGCCAUCACUUCUGACAGUCCUUAUGCGGACCAGACUCUGGCCUGGGCCUGUAAUGGUUACACACCAUGGGUGGCACUGGCCUGGUCCUUGGGGGAGCUUACAGGUGUGUCACAGAGAGUGGAAGGGACCCUGCUCAGACCCCAGUCUAUGGCCCACUGUGCUCCCAUUUCGUAGGUGAGCAGCCAGCAGGCUGGGGUUCAAGCCUUGACCCCUGUGGGCCCGGGAGUCCAUGGGCUUGGAAGCCAACCUUGGCUCUGGCUGAUGCUCACAGGAAGCAUUUCCCUGUGGGUCGGGAAUGCCAACGGCCUCCCUGAUGGGGGUGCUCAUCUCUUGCAGACCAGCCGGUUCCUGCUGGAAGCUCC
rnacentral:lncRNA from 1 species